CACAUUUAUCCUAUUUAUUUCACUUAAGAGUGUGGCCUCAAUGUGCAUUAAUCUUAGUUUUUUGAGGUAUCUCCAUAUUGAUUUCCACAGUGGUUGAACCAGUCUGCACUCCCACCAACAAUAGAGAAGGGUUCCUUUCUCCCCACAACCCUGCCAGCAUUUGUUGUUGGUUAAUUUCUUGAUAGCAGCCAUUCUUUCUGGGUUGAGAUGGAAUCUCAGUGUUGUUUUCAUCUGCAUCUCUCGAAUGACCAAUGAUGUUGAACACUUUUUCAUGUUUAUUUGCUGCUUUUACUUCUUUGUCUGAGAAAUGUCUCUUCAUUUCAGAUGCCCAUUUUUGAAUUGGGUCUUUGAAUUUGGGGAGUCUGAUUUUUUAAAGUUCUUUAUAUAUUCUAGAUAUAGUAGUCCUUUGUCUGAGGAACAGCUGAUAAAAAUUUUUUCCCACAUUGUAGGUUGUGUCUUAGCUCUGUUGGUAAUUUCUCUUGCAGUGCAGAAGCUUUUUAAUAAGAUGAGAUCCCAGUUGUUGAUUCUUUGUGCUAGUUCCCGUGCUACUGAGGUUUUGUUUAUAAAGUCUUUUUCUAUGCCAGUGUGUUCGAGAGUUCUACUUAACUUAUCUUCCAGCAAGUUUAGUGUUUUUGUUUUAAUAUUUAGAUCUCUAAUCCACUUGGAUAUUAGUUUAGUGCAUGUUGAAAGAUAGGGGUUUAGUUUUAAAAUUUGGCAGGUUGAAAUCCAGUUUUCCCAGCACCAUUUAUUAAAGAGGUUAUUUUUCUUCCAGUGAGGGUGUUUGGCUCCUUUGUCAAAGAUGAGGUGGGUGAGUGUGUCUGGAGUUGUUUCAGCAUCUUCUAAUCUGUUCCACUGGUACUUGGGUCUGUUUCUUUGCCAGUACCAUGCUGUUUUUAUCACAGUAGCUUUGUAGUAUAGUUUCAAGUUGGGCGUUGUGAUACCCCCACCAUGUUUGUGUUGCCCAGAAUUGCUUUUGCUAUUCUAGGUCUCUUGUUCCAAAUGAAUUUUUCUAUUGUUUUCUCAAGGUCCAUGAUGUAUGCUGCUGGGAUUUCAAUUGGGAUUGCAUUGAAUUUAUGUAGCAGUUUUGGAAGUAUGGCCAUUUUCACUGUGUUGAUCCUUCCUACCCAGGAGCAGGGGAUGUCUUUCCAUUUUCUGAUAUCAUCUUCAAUCUCUCUUUUCAGAGUGCUAUAGUUUUCAGGGAAGAGGUCUUUGAUUUCUUUUGUUCGGUGGAUUUCUAGGUAUUUCAGUUUUUUGGAUGCUAUUGUGAAAGGAAUUAUUUGCCCUAUUUCUCCCUCAGUGAUUCUGUUGUUCGUGUAGAGGAAACUAUUGCUUUUUGUGUGUUGACCUUAUAUCCAGCUACUCUACUGAAUUUGGUUAUUAAGUCUAGAAGACUUUUGGUGGAGUUCUUGGGAUCUUCUAUAUAGACUAUCAUGUCAUCUGCAAAUAAUGACAAUUUGACUUCUUCAUUUUCUUUCUUGAUUCCUUUUAUUUCCUUCUCUUGUCUAAUUGCCGUGGCUAAUGUUUCCAGAACUAUAUUGAACAAGAGUGGUGAUAGUGGACAUCCUUGUCUUGUUCCUGAUUUUAGUGUGAAGGAUUUCAGUUUUUGACCAUUUAGUGUGAUAUUGGGUGUUGGUUUUUCAUAGAUGGCUUUUAUCAGAUUGAGGUAGAGACCAUCUAUUCCAAUUUUUUGUAGGGUUUUUAUCAUAAAUGCAUGUUGGAUUUUGUCAAAUGCUUUUUCUGUGUCUAUGGAGAUAAUCCUAUGGUUUUUGUCCUUGGCUCUAUUGAUAUAGUGUAUUACAUUAAUUGAUUUUCGUAUAUUGAACCAUCCCUGCAUCCCUGGGAUGAAUCCCAGUUGGUCAGAGUGUUUGAUCUUCUUGAUGAUUUUCCACAUUCUAUUUGCCAGUAUCUUAUUAAGGAUUUUUGCAUCUAUGUUCAUUAGUAAGAUUGGCCUAUAGUUCUCUUUUUCAGUUGGGUCUUUCUCUGCUUUGGGGAUCAAAGUGAUACUUGCUUCCUGGAAUGAAUUCGGGAGUAUUGCUUCCCUUUCAAUUUCAUUGAAGAGUUUAAACAGUAGUCGCAGUAGUUCUUCUUUAAAUCUCUUGUAGAAUUUGGUGGUGAAGCCAUCAGGACCCGGGCUUUUCUUAGUUGGUAAGUUUUUAAUUAUGUUUUCAAUUUCUUUUUUUUUUAAUUUUUGGUACCAGGGAUCGAACUCGGGUCCUUGCGCUUACACAGCAGGCAGCGAAACCACUGAGCUAAAUCCCCAGCCCAUAUUUUUUCAGUUUCAUUGAUUGGGUUGUUUAGAAUUUUUAGGUCUUCUUUGUUCAACUUUGGUAAUUCAUACUUACCUAGGAAUCUGUCCAUUUCUUCUGUGUUUUUCAUCUUAUUGGCAUAUAGGUUCUGGAAGUAGGUAUUGAUGAUCCUCUGGAUUUCUGCUGGGUCCAUUUUAAUUUCCUCCUUUUCAUUCCUAAUUGCAUGGAUUUGGGCCUUUUCUUUCCCUUUCCUGAUAAGGUUGGCUAAGGGUUUGUCAAUUUUGUUGAUUCUUUCAAAGAACCAACUCUUGGCUUCAUUGAUUUUUUUUGUAUUGUUCUUUUAGUCUCCAUUGCAUUGAUUUCUCCUCUGAUCUUUGUAAUUUCCUCCCUUGUAUGAGAUUUGUUCUGUUCUUCUUUUUCUAGAAGCUUGAGGUUCAGCAUCAGGUUGUUUAAUUGGGCUCAUUCUGUCUUCCUAAUAUGCGUUUUCACUGCUAUGAAUUUCCCUCAUAAG
ensembl:lncRNA